UGUAUAAGAGACAGCAGUAGCCACGGGAAUACGUAGGUGGCAAGCGUUGUCCGGAAUUAUUGGGCGUAAAGCGCGCGCAGGCGGAUCAGUUAGUCUGUCUUAAAAGUUCGGGGCUUAACCCCGUGAGGGGAUGGAAACUGCUGAUCUAGAGUAUCGGAGAGGAAAGUGGAAUUCCUAGUGUAGCGGUGAAAUGCGUAGAUAUUAGGAAGAACACCAGUGGCGAAGGCGACUUUCUGGACGAAAACUGACGCUGAGGCGCGAAAGCCAGGGGAGCGAACGGGAUUAGAUACCCCUGUAGUCCCUGUCUCUUAUACC
rnacentral:rRNA from 1 species